CUGAGUCUGUGAUGAUGUAGAGUUAUCCCUGUCUGAAGGCAAAUAAAGGCCUUCUGUGUGGAAUGUGGAUGUCUGAAACUCAG
ensembl:snoRNA